UCCAUUCUCCCACACAUGCUGAAAUCGAGCUCCUUGGUCUAAUUUCACCUGUGCCUCUCACGUCCCCCCUUUCCUGAUACAAAUCCCUAAUUCAGCAGAUGAAAUCCCUAAACCCUCUUUGCCAACCCCCAAUUCCUUCCCGUCAAUUCUUCCUUCUCCCCCUACUACCGUGACAUUACCCCGCCCUUGAAAGGAUCCUUGACCCCAAGGAUCGAAUGCAGGAAACCGAGUCUGGAGAACUGUAAAAUCUUCCCAAGAGUCGUGGGUUUCAUCAAGAUUUGUCCAACGCACAAGCAACUGAGUAACAUGUGGAGUGAGAGUUGGAACAACCCUAUCCCCGAGUUUCUUCUUCAACAAACUGACGUGAAAAACGGGAUGUAUAUGGCAAUCAGCUGGUAAGUCCAAGCGAGACCUCGGGAAAUUCUACCAUUGGAGGAUUCCUCUUUGGCAUACCCGAUCAUCAGUUGCCGGGAAUGAUUGUUCUAGAUAACAAUUGUAAUGAUUUUAGUAUGAACAAGAGAGAAGACGAGAGAAGAGAGAAAAGAGAAAUAGGUUUCAGAAGAAGAAAAUCUGUCAUUCAGCAAUUUCAUUAGUA